CCUACGGGUGGCAGCAGUGGGGAAUAUUGGGCAAUGGAGGAAACUCUGACCCAGCAACGCCGCGUGAAUGAUGAAGGUCUUCGGAUUGUAAAGUUCUUUUCUAAGGGAAGAAGAAAGUGACGGUACCUUAGGAAUAAGCCUCGGCUAACUACGUGCCAGCAGCCGCGGUAAUACGUAGGAGGCGAGCGUUAUCCGGAAUGACUGGGCGUAAAGAGUUCGUAGGCGGCAUGUAAAGUCAGGUGUUAAAGGCGCAGGCUCAACCUGUGUAUGGCACUUGAUACUUGCAAGCUGGAAUGCGGUAGAGGUAAAGGGAAUUCCUGGUGUAGCGGUGAAAUGCUUAGAUAUCAGGAGGAACAUCGGUGGCGUAAGCGCUUUACUGGGCCGUAAUUGACGCUGAGGAACGAAAGCCAGGGUAGCAAAUGGGAUUAGAUACCCCAGUAGUC
rnacentral:rRNA from 1 species